rnacentral:rRNA from 1 species
UACGGGAGUGGCAAGCGUUAUCCGGAAUUAUUGGGCGUAAAGCGUCCGCAGGCGGUCUUGUAAGUCUGUUGUUAAAGCGUGGAGCUUAACUCCAUUUGAGCAAUGGAAACUGCAAGACUAGAGUGUGGUAGGGGCAGAGGGAAUUCCCGGUGUAGCGGUGAAAUGCGUAGAUAUCGGGAAGAACACCAGUGGCGAAGGCGCUCUGCUGGGCCAUAACUGACGCUCAUGGACGAAAGCCAGGGGAGCGAAAGGGAUUAGAUACCCCUGUAGUCCUGGCCGUAAACGAUGAACACUAGGUGUCGGGGGAAUCGACCCCCUCGGUGUCGUAGCCAACGCGUUAAGUGUUCCGCCUGGGGAGUACGCACGCAAGUGUGAAACUCAAAGGAAUUGACGGGGGCCCGCACAAGCGGUGGAGUAUGUGGUUUAAUUCGAUGCAACGCGAAGAACCUUACCAGGGUUUGACAUCCUGCGAAUCUUUUGGAAACAGAAGAGUGCCUUCGGGAACGCAGUGACAGGUGGUGCAUGGCUGUCGUCAGCUCGUGUCGUGAGAUGUUGGGUUAAGUCCCGCAACGAGCGCAACCCACGUCGUUAGUUGCCAGCAUUGAGUUGGGCACUCUAGCGAGACCGCCGGUGAUAAACCGGAGGAAGGUGUGGAUGACGUCAAGUCAUCAUGCCCCUUACAUCCUGGGCUACACACGUACUACAAUGCUACGGACAAAGGGCAGCAAACUCGCGAGAGCUAGCAAAUCCCAUAAACCGUGGCUCAGUUCAGAUCGUAGGCUGCAACUCGCCUACGUGAAGGAGGAAUCGCUAGUAAUCGCAGGUCAGCAUACUGCGGUGAAUACGUUCCCGGGCCU